rnacentral:rRNA from 1 species
UACGUAGGGGGCUAGCGUUGUCCGGAAUCAUUGGGCGUAAAGAGCGUGUAGGCGGUCCGGUAAGUCCGCUGUGAAAGUCGGGGGCUCAACCCUCGAAUGCCGGUGGAUACUGUCGGGCUAGAGUGCGGAAGAGGCGAGUGGAAUUCCUGGUGUAGCGGUGAAAUGCUUAGAUAUGACAUAGAACACCGAUAGCGAAGGCAGCUUACUACAUGUUAAUUGACGCUGAGGCACGAAAGCGUGGGGAGCAAACAGG